GACCCGGUGGCGGAUGGCCCGCGUCCGCGCGGCUUCACUGAGAUCCAGAUGAAAAUGCUGCGGAAGACGCCCGUUCGACUCGGGCCCGGGUCA